rnacentral:rRNA from 1 species
GUGUUGUGAAAUGUUGGGUAAAGUACCGCAACGAGCGGAACCCUUGUCCUUAGUAGCCAGCGAGUAAUGUUGGGCACUCUAAGGAGACUGCCGGUGACAAACCGGAGGAAGGUGGGGAUGACGUCAAGUCAUCAUGGCCCUUACGGCUGGGCUACACACGUGCUACAAUGGCAGUACAAAGGGAAGCAACUCGCGAGAGCCAGCCCCCCUCAAAAACCGAUCGUAGUCCGGAUCGCAGUCUGCAACUCGAAUGCAUGAAGUCGGAAUCGCUAGUAAAAAGUAGAUCAGAAUGCGCGGGAAUACUUCCCGGGCCCCCUUUCGGCCACCUUCACCCCAUGGGAAGGCUGCCGCAAGCCUUUUCCUAACCUUCAGGAGGGCGCUUACCACUUUGUGAUUCAUGACUGGGGGAAAUUCGUAUCCAGAACCCCCGC